rnacentral:rRNA from 1 species
GACGAACGCUGGCGGCGUGCUUAACACAUGCAAGUCGAACGAAGAGCGACGGAAGCUUGCUUCUAUCAAUCUUAGUGCGAACGGGUGAGUAACGCGUAAUCAACCUGCCCUUCAGAGGGGGCACAGUUGGAAACGACUGCUAAUACCGCAUACGAUCUAAUCUCGGCAUCGAGGAUAGAUGAAAGGUGGCCUCUACAUGUAAGCUAUCACUGAAGGAGGGGAUUGCGUCUGAUUAGCUAGUUGGAGGGGUAACGGCCCACCAAGGCGAUGAUCAGUAGCCGGUCUGAGAGGAUGAACGGCCACAUUGGGACUGAGACACGGCCCAGACUCCUACGGGAGGCAGCAGUGGGGAAUCUUCCGCAAUGGACGAAAGUCUGACGGAGCAACGCCGCGUGAGUGAUGACGGCCUUCGGGUUGUAAAGCUCUGUUAAUCGGGACGAAAGGCCUUCUUGCGAACAGUUAGAAGGAUUGACGGUACCGGAAUAGAAAGCCACGGCUAA